rnacentral:lncRNA from 1 species
CUUUCUGCCCCCACUCUUGGAUUGCAUUUUCCCGCUCCAAAUUUUCAUUAUAAACAGCCCUCUCUAUUCUUCGUUUCCCUGCGCAUUCAUAACCCUGAGAAGAGGACAAAGAUAUAGCAAAAAGAAACUUACAGGCAGGGUUCAGAGUUCUGAGAUUCCUGAAGAGAUCCCAUAACACUUCCUGGAUGAGCGCGAUCUGAAGAAAGCAGCCAAGUAAAUCAGUGGUACAGCUUCCUGGAUCUCUCUCCUUUUCCUGUUUUCAGACAGCCAUUUCAUGUGAGGAAGAUCAGGGAGGUCCUAAAAAAAGAGGGUGUUUUGAAGAUUCUACAACAAAAAGGAGGAUCAAAUCAAUGAACCAGAUGGGAAAGAAUGCCUCAAUAAUAUAAGGGAUUAUCGGGUGCAUAUGAUGAAGAUGCCUGUCUCGAUUUAUCCUGAGGGAGGGAGACACUCGUCUUUGCUAAAUAACCAAAUAACAGCCAGAAAGGCGUCCACCCAAGUCAUCAGGCUUCACCCUCGCCUCCGUCUCAGCAAUGGCCUCGUACGAAUUGAACAAGACAUAACUGGAGGAAUGGAGUGCGGAAGUUGGACGAUCCGCACAUAAAUUAGGAGAAAUGUGGAGUACCUGAAGAACUGAUCACAGUAAAAGUUUGGGAAAUCUUGGGAUCUAAAACAGUCAAACCACAAGAAUCGAGAAGAACACUGCAUGGGUGGUGAAAACGUAGAAAGUAAUGGCAAGGCUUCUCUAGAAAAAGCGAAAAUGAUGGCGGUCAACCCACAGAUAUGAGGCCUUUUGGGUAGAUUCAGGCACUAAAAAUAGGAAAAUCACGUUAUUAGAAAUAUUAAAUGGGUACUCAUGUGAACAAUAAAUAUACCAUUUUUGAGAUGGGGGCUGUUGCACAAAGGGGCUCUCCAGCGACCCACACAGUGCCCGACCUCAUUCAGAGAGACGCAGGCAUGGUUUCAGCAGCAGCAAGGAGAAGGGAAGAAGAAGCGUCUGCAAUUAAUGCCAGCCAGCAGAAGCAGUAGGUUUUUCUCUCUCGCUCUUUCCGUGUUAUUCUCGACCUUCUUCUCUCCUCGUAUUCAUUUUUCUUCCUCCUCUUCUCCACAGCCCCGUCUGGCCAGGGAUCAGCUGACCUGAUAACUGUAGUCAACCAGUUCCUACCGAGUCUCUCCCCGACGAGCACAUCCUGAUCAGGUUCAUGUCAGUUUGACCGAUCCAUCUCAAGCAUUUUUGGGGUUGGCGCAGUUCAUCCGCAGCACUGGAGACCCCAUCCCAGUUAUCCAUUUUCGCAGACUUAAAUCGCUGGUUUAUUUUUCCAGAAACCAUAAUGCGGGAGAUAAUCAGUACAAGUUCUGAGGCUGCUCGUGCCGAUUCUCCACUUGAUUCGGAGCAUCCACCUCAUCCAAACCAAAAAAAUUGAGGCUGGAGCAGGAAGGGGAACUGGAGCAGCGGCCACAGCCGCUCACCGGUGAGGCAGAUUUAGAAGAUGGCGUCACUCUGGUAGGAGACCUCCGCCGGCGACGAUGGCUCGGAGGAGAUGAUGCCGCAGGUCCGCGCGGUCCGGCUCCGCCUCCUCGGGGAACGCGGCGCCGCGAGGGUAGAGAGAGCUCCGACCACCCCCUCAACCUGUCGCGAUCAGAAGAAAAAACCCGUCUUUUCCCCGUAGGCUCAUGAUGGGGCCGUGACUUCGUGAGAGAGACAACCUACCCAUCGACGGAAGACUUCCCGCCCCCGCAGGACGCAGGCCUCCCUAAGAAUAACACGUGGCCGGCUCCCGAGAGAAGAGCACGUUUAUUAAAAUACUCUGUCGAGCCACCAGACACGGCAGAUAAUGUAAUAAUCCAUCUACGCGCGCCGCACCGUCACCCGGUUUGUCGCCGAGUCCGACUCGGAGCCGCCGGCGAGGGCGUCUCAGGCGGCGGCGGCGGCGGCGCCGCCUGGGAGAAGGGGAAGCUUGGGUCGCCGGCGCCGG